UACUAACAAUGAAAAGAGAGCUAUGCGUCAACAUAGCCCUCGUGCAAACACCAUUUAAGAUGGUGACAGCCAUGUUAGAUUAUUAUAAA
rnacentral:sRNA from 1 species